GUAGCUCUAUGGUCUGGGGGACACCUGUCUCCCUCCUGUAGUUCUACGUCUUUACACUUACACCGUAGCAAAGUCUUAUGGAAUGUGCACUGCGUUUAACGCGAUACAAUACAACUUUCAGCAACGGAUCUCUUGGCUCUCGCAUCGAUGAAGAACGCAGCGAAAUGCGAUAAGUAAUGUGAAUUGCAGAAUUCAGUGAAUCAUCGAAUCUUUGAACGCACCUUGCGCCCCUUGGCUAUUCCGAGGGGCAUGCCUGUUUGAGUAUCAUGAACACCUCAACUCUCAUGGUUUGCCGUGAUGAGCUUGGACUUUUGGGGGUUUUGUUGGCCAACGGUCGGCUCCUCUGAAACAGAUCAGCUCGCCAGUGUUUGGUGGCGUCACAGGUGUGAUAACUAUCUACGCUUGCGAUCGUUUGCCGAGUAACCUUUGGAAACGGAGGUUCGCUGCAGCUUAUAAAUGUCUCUCCUCAGCGAAGACAGCUUUUUGACCGUUCGAUCUCAAAUCAGGUAGGACUACCCGCUGAAC
rnacentral:rRNA from 1 species